UAGGUACUGGAAUGAUCGUUUGUGGGUGAGUCCCCUGAGCCGAUAUUUAAAAACACACAGAAUAUUGUUUCACUUUAUUGGUGAGCAUGCUCAUUUAUGAGAAGCCUAAAGAUGAAGUAGCGAUGUUCAACCUUGAACUUCGGGUUCAAGGGUUACAACCUACGACGACAUUCUGGUACUAAU
rnacentral:other from 1 species